rnacentral:rRNA from 1 species
GACGAACGCUGGCGGCGUGCCUAAUACAUGCAAGUUGAGCGCUGAAGGUUGGUACUUGUACCAACUGGAUGAGCAGCGAACGGGUGAGUAACGCGUGGGGAAUCUGCCUUUGAGCGGGGGACAACAUUUGGAAACGAAUGCUAAUACCGCAUAAAAACUUCAAACACAAGUUUUAAGUUUGAAAGAUGCAAUUGCAUCACUCAAAGAUGAUCCCGCGUUGCAUUAGCUAGUUGGUGAGGUAAAGGCUCACCAAGGCGAUGAUACAUAGCCGACCUGAGAGGGUGAUCGGCCACAUUGGGACGGAGACACGGCCCAAACUCCUACGGGAGGCAGCAGUAGGGAAUCUUCGGCAAUGGACGAAAGUCUGACCGAGCAACGCCGCGUGAGUGAAGAAGGUUUUCGGAUCGUAAAACUCUGUUGGUAGAGAAGAACGUUGGUGAGAGUGGAAAGCUCAUCAAGUGACGGUAACUACCCAGAAAGGGACGGCUAACUACGUG